GAAAUGCGAUAAGUAAUGUGAAUUGCAGAAUUCAGUGAAUCAUCGAAUCUUUGAACGCACCUUGCGCUCCUUGGUAUUCCUUGGAGCAUGCCUGUUUGAGUGUCAUGAAAUCUUCAAAGUAAAUCUUUUGUUAACUCAAUUGGUUUCUACUUUGGUAUUGGAGGUCUUUGCAGCUUCACACCUGCUCCUCUUUGUUCAUUAGCUGGAUCUCAGUGUUAUGCUUGGUUCCACUCGGCGUGAUAAGUUAUCUAUUGCUGAGGACACUGUAAAAGGUGGCCAAGGUAAAUGCAGAUGAACCGCUUCUAAUAGUCCAUUGACUUGGACAAUACUUUUAUGAUCUGAUCUCAAAUCAGGUAGGACUACCCGCUGAACUUAAGC
rnacentral:misc_RNA from 1 species